UAAAAAAUUAAUCUGCAGUAGAAAAAACUAUAAACUGCAACUUUUCAGCUCUGCUAUCAAUAGGAACAUAGGAAGACUCAGUCAUUACUCUUUUCAUUAUAUUUAAGACUGAACCAUCUUAUAUUACACCUGCCAUAGUAAUCGGUUUUGAUUUAACUGUCCAAACUUACUUGCAAGCAAUCGGUUUUGAUUGCUCAAUUAAACUAUUAACAAAGGUAUGAACCUGCCAUAGUUUAAAUUUUGUCCAAACUAAAGGAAACCAAUCAGUUUUACUUUAUAGAAUUGAUAUUAGCAUUUAUGUACUGGAAUGGAAAUUUGAAUUGGUUACUAUUAUAAAUUUGUCCAAUUGUAAAAUAAGUAUGAAAUGUUAAUUUGGUACAGUGUUGCUGUUGAAGCACUUUUGAUAAAUUAAUGCGGGGUUAAUAGGCUUUUACCUCCCUGCCAUUUGGUUUACCCCCUACGGAAAAAAAAACUUGGAGAUUCCCCCUCGUCAUUAGAAGAUUCUUUGAUUUUCAACCCUCAGGCAAUCUGACUGGAUUAAUGAGCUGAUGUGGCACGCUAACUGUGUGAUGAUGUGGCACGCUGACUGAUGUGGCACUGACACGUCAUAAUUUUAAAUCUUUUAUUUUUAAAAGUAUGUUAAAAAUGUGAAA
rnacentral:lncRNA from 1 species